rnacentral:rRNA from 1 species
GACGUAGGGCGCGAGCGUUGUCCGGAUUUAUUGGGCGUAAAGAGCUCGUAGGCGGCUUGUUGCGUCGGCUGUGAAAACCCGCGGCUUAACCGCGGGCCUGCAGCCGAUACGGGCAGGCUAGAGUUCGGUAGGGGAGACUGGAAUUCCUGGUGUAGCGGUGAAAUGCGCAGAUAUCAGGAAGAACACCAGUGGCGAAGGCGGCUCACUGGCCCGAUACUGACGCUGAGGCACGAAAGCGUGGGGAGCAAACAGG